rnacentral:rRNA from 1 species
CAGUAGCCACGGGAAUACAGAGGGUGCAAGCGUUAAUCGGAAUUACUGGGCGUAAAGCGCGCGUAGGUGGUUCGUUAAGUUGGAUGUGAAAUCCCCGGGCUCAACCUGGGAACUGCAUCCAAAACUGGCGAGCUAGAGUAGGGCAGAGGGUGGUGGAAUUUCCUGUGUAGCGGUGAAAUGCGUAGAUAUAGGAAGGAACACCAGUGGCGAAGGCGACCACCUGUGCUCAUACUGACACUGAGGUGCGAAAGCGUGGGGAGCAAACAGGAUUAGAUACCCCCGUAGUCCCUGUCUCUUAUAC